UUUGGGCCACAGCUCCAGGUCUCAUCUCACUGGACCACCCAGACAGAAAUUACCACCCAUUAAGAGAAAAGACUCCUCUGUGAACCUGAAAGAACUCAAUUAAGUCCAGUGGACAACAUGGCUAAGACACUAUGAUAGGUGCAGGGACAGGGAACAGAUAAUUAGGAACAGAAAUAUAAAUAUAAAUAUAACAUGGCUCCAGAACUUUGUAACAAUUUUUUUCCUAUGAAGUCUUUUCUGUGCCUCCCUUCCUAGAAUGGACUUCCCCCACUCAAGAGCCUCACUGAACCAGAAACAUUUAUUACCUGCAAAAUUUCAUCAUACUUUGAAUUUAUUUAACAAAGGAAAAUUCAGCAGUUGAUCCUCCUUAGAAGGCUGGAGGAGAGGAAAAAAAUUGCAAUUGAAGUUAACCUUUACUUUUCCCCUCUAUUGACCUCCAGCUCCUUGAAGGCAGGAAAUGCACCUGUACUGUUUAGCACAGGGUCUAGAGCACAGUAAGUGUUCAGAAUGAAUCACUGAAUGAAUCAAGUUAACUAAGUAAUCCAAUCAAGCGGUGGAGAGAAAUAAUAUAAACAACUGAGUAAGAAACAGCACAGUUUAACAACUAAGAUUUUUCCAAAUGGAGAUUUGCAGCUGAAAAAAAAUAAUGCUAAAACAACCCCCAAAAGUUGAAACAUCAAAGAGAAGAGUCCAUAACACGCAGUAUAACAUUAUCUUUUUGCCUUCUUCAGGCUGUCUUCUAAAAGCAUGCUGUGGACACCGUAAUUUAUUCUGCCCAAUGUUCUACAAUUGCAAGCUACAGGCAGGGUAUGCAGUUCACUGUAAUAAUAUUUAGACUCUAAUCUGCUCCCCUUAGCUCAUCUACUAUCCUGCUUCACAUCCUAUGAUACUACACAUGGGAAAGGCCUCAUGAAAGGGAUUAAGCACCUCCUUUUACUCACAGUAAUGUUAAUAGCUUCUAUUUAUUUAGUACCUACUAUGGGCCAAGCACCCACUAGAUGCCUGCCAGGCUGAUCGUAUUUAAUCUUUGCAACAAUCCUAAUGAAGUGGGUGCUAGCUUUCCACAUUUACAGAUGAGAUUUCUGGGACACUUAAGUAAUUUUCCCCCAAACUCCAUGGUAAUGGGAGGCCAAGUGAAGAUGUGAAUUUGGGUUUGUCUAACUUCAGGGCCAGGACCCUUAAAUACCUAGCUAAACUCAGAAUUAUUAGAAUUACCUGACAGGAGAUAAGGGACAUCAAAUGCAACUCAAAUUUGUCAUUCCCAGAGAAAUAGAUCCCUCCUCAUAGGGCAUCCUGCUUUAAGCUGCCUUUAUGGGGUGAAGCUGCAAUUCUGGCCCAGCUCAGCUGCCCCCAGGAAUGACUACUGCCCACUGGUGCAGCAGGGAAGAAAGAUGGGGCAAAAUGAAGUCACACUUUAUUUCGAGGGGUCAUUUUCUGUGUCAGAGAAAAUGGGUCUUAACAUAUCUUGAACAAGCAGUGUAGUAGGCGACAACGAAUCCACAGUAAUCUCAGGAGGAAGCCAUUUCACCCUCUCGCAGUUACUGCUUUACCCGAAUGCAGGCAUGUAAAUAACCAAGAUAACUAGAGUCGAACUUAGAGCCUCCAGGGAGGGAAUUCAUAAGCACUGUGCAAAGUGGUUUAUAAAUGUCAUGUUAUUAUUUCUUAAAAUGGGUUAGGCAGGUGUUUAUCCACGCUUUUUUAUAGACCGAAAUGAUUUCCCAUUUUCAAAUCUUUCUCCUGUGGACUGGAAAUGGUUACAGGCUAUCUCUAAAGGAGAAAAUGAAUGCACAAGUGCGUAUGCUGUGUUGGAGCUGGAAGGGGCCUCCAGUGCAGCCUGCCCAGCCGUCAUCAGGCUGAGGCCAGGAGAGCUGGUGCCUUGCCUCGGGACACAUCCUGGACACAUCAGUACAUGAGCUCAGCCUCAAACCCAGGUCUGUCUGCUCUUAGGCCAGGGUGUUUUCUGACAUCCCAGGGGAAGCAAUGUUAAUUCAGGGAUGCAACAGUCAGGGUGUCAUGUAAGGACCUGGAAUGCUAAUACCAGUCAGUAUGCCGCAACUGUUUCCAAAAAUAAAUAUAAAGAUUGGUACAUAAACAAUACAGAUAGAUUUUUUAAAUAAAAAUAUAUAGAUAAGAAAAAAUAAUGAUGGAUGGAAAAAUAUGAAACAGUCUUCUUACCCUCCAGAGAUAGUCACUGACUGAACCUGGUUAUCUUUGCUUCUGGACGUUUCUAUGCUUCCUGGUGCUUACAGAUUGAUUCUCCGAAGACCAUGGGGCCACCCUGUAAAUGCCAUUUGAUAACCAGCUUAGUAGCAUAUUUCAAACACCUUCCCAAGGGAAUGUAUCUUCAUCUAUGUUACUUUUUAUGGCUGACUAGCAUCCCACGGUAUGGCUGCUCUGUAAUUCAUUAAGUCAGCUCUCUACUGUGAGACUCUCAACAUUUUUUUCACUGCUAGAAGCAAUAGAAACAUGGAGUGAUAACUAAAUGGCAUCAGCCCCCUUCCAGUGGUGCUUCCUUAGAGCUGUGUCAGCAGGGAUGAGCUCCUGACCCCUCCGUGCCUUUUCCUGCACCAGCAAUCACGCCCCCCUCACAGGGAUUGUUGGCUGUUUUAGGAGAGAGAACGCAUAUAGGAUUUGCUAAACACAUGUUCCUUGCUUUAGUUAUUAUUUAGUUUUAUACUAGGUUUUUAUUAACAAGUCUUCCACGAAAAUCUUUUUAGCUAAUUUUUUGUGCACGCCCUUAAUUAUUUCCUGAGAACAAGUCUUAGAAAUUGUAUCAUUAAACCCAAAAGUGUUUAUGGAUUUUUCACAUUUAUUGUCAAGUCGCCCUCUUAAAAGAUGGUGCCAAGUUACUUUCCCAUGAAAAGAAAAAAGAGUGCUCAGGACCUCACACCUUGUCCACAGCUGGCAUAAUGAUUCCUUUUCAAUUCCAUUGUGUGUUGGGGAGUUAGUUUCCAUCUAUGUUUUGGCCAUUAAUAUCUCUUCUCCUUCUCCUCCUUUUCCUCUUCCUCUGCCUUCUUCUCUGUGGACUUGUCUCCGGCACAGUUUAAUCUCUCUGAAAUUGGUUGUGAAGUCCAUUUAGCAGCUGCUUUUUACUUUUGGGUAAAAACAAAUUCACUAGAUUGUACAACCACCGGGAGGACAAGGCCUGGACUGUUCCCCUCGCUGCUGUCACUCUCCAUAGACUUAUUGUGAAACGUUCCCAGGAAACACUGGUGGAAUGACUAACUGGCCGGAUGGCUGGAAGGCUGGUGGGUGGAGCAUCAUAAGAACAGUUCCUGAGGGCAGCCUGGCAGCAACUGACAUGGCAGAGGUCCCCUGGGCUGCCAAGCCUUCCCUUCAGUCCAUUUAAUGGAAGAUAUCUAGCCAGGAGCCACCCCUCGAGUAAAACUCUCACUACCAGAAAUUCCUUCCCAUUUCGGGAGACUUCUUGUUGUGAGGCUAGGCACGCCACCAAACAUGCAGCACCUCAGGCUCAUUUAUCUGACGGGGAGAGCCAGAGUCAGCACACAGGGGUGCAUCGCUGCAGGUGCUGACAUGCUGUGGAGAUGGGGGGGAAGAAGGAAGCAAAGCAAAUAAUGACCACUCAACAAAUUUUUCCAAAAGGCUCAGCUGACUAACUGGCUACAGCCAAGAUUCUACAAUGAGAAAGAAAUUUUUUUGACUUGUACUGACCUUAGAGAUGGAACUCCUUCAGUAAAAUGUGGUAAUUUGAAAUAAAGCUCCUUGUGUCUGUUUCCAAAGAAUUAUGACUUAGAAGGUUCAUGUGAGGUGAAGGAGAACAAGAAGAAAUAGACAUCAAGUUGAGAUGCUGUGCCAAACAUCUGGAGGAGAGAAUGAGGGCAUUAUGAGAAAACAGAUGGAAGGAAUUUAGCCAGAUAAAAUUAAAGGCAAUGCCCCUCAGCAUCUGAUUAGCCAAGAGAAUUUUAUUUAAAAGGAAAAUACCUAUAAAACCUGUAUUUUAACAAGACUUUGGACAAGAACUUUUAAAAAUCAGAGUUCUUAUCAGUACUUGAGGUUUAUUUUGAAGUCUUUAAUUUACUAAUUACUGUGUGGAUCAUUUUGUUUUGUUUUUUUAAUUAGAGGCAAGACCCUCAUAGAUAACCCAAAUGCUUGUAGAUAAAGACCUCCACUAAAAAGUCUUUCUAUGUUAUUUUAAUUAACCCACUGAAAUUCCAUUAAAAAAAUCAGGGUCUAAAUCAAGCAUUUGUGGUGUGAGUUAAAUAUUUGUGUUUGCUGAGGAAAGCUGAUAAUGCCUCUUUGGGAAUUGGCUUUACCUCUGCAAGAAAGAGCUUAACUUUCGUGUAUGAACAUUUUAUCCAUUAACUGUACUGAGCACAGGGCUGAAGGUUCACCAGCUUGGCCAAGGCCCGUGAAAAUUUUUAAGAUCUGAUCUUAAAAAAUUUGUUGGAUCCAAAAUAAAACACUACACUCUAAAAAGCAAAUUAAUAAUUAUAUCAAGAAUAUAUAAGAAUACCAAAGCAAAAUUACAAAGAUGGCUUCAAAUCCUUACACAAAAUACUGUACUGUAUUUAAUGUGACAGAUGUGACAUGAGCCCUCUCAAAUCAAGAUUCCCGGGUCUUCCAGAGGUCCUAAAGUAGUGCUGCUCGUGAGGAGAAGCAGCUUUCUGUGAGAGCACAUACAUUCUUCUGUUACACAUUCCUUUUGUAACCCAGAAGGAAAAAAUCACCCUUUCCUUUAAUAUUCAGAUAAAAUGGCUUGAGUCUACAAUGCAGAAACUGGGAGAUGUAUGGCACACACCUCAAAAUUCUGUGGUGUUCCCUGGAAGUCUAUUGCUAUCCUAGUUAAAUCUUGCCCAGGCUUCCUGCUGCUUCUGACUUCUUGAUACUUGCCUACUUUCUCUUCUCCUGUGAUUUCUCUCCUCUUUCCAAACUAUAUCUAGCCACCUUUCUCCUCACUGCUUAUAAAUGUGCCACCAACAAAGGGUCUCUGUGCAUGACAGCCUUUGUUUAAUGUUUGGGAAUAAUGAAGAGGGGCUAGCACCUUACAGAAUAAUAAACAACUAAACAUGGAAUACAAUAGUAUAUUGUAUCUGUAGCUCCUCAUCCAUUCCCCCAGGGGAAAUUUCUUACCAGCGCUUUCUUGCCUUGGGCUCUGGCCUUCAACCAUAUGCCUGGGGCACACAGUUCCUGGCAAGAUUGCCAUUUUGCCAAAUCUCCUCUCUCAGCUCCCAGCAGCCCCUGCCUACCCCAGGAAAAGUGACCAUUCCUGUUACAGACCACCUAGCUCGCCUGGUACUUUUUAUUGCAUACCUAAUGAUGCCCAUUAUUGGACUUUCUUAGCAAAGACAUCUUUAGCCUGUAGUUAAAUUCUGUCACAUCCUUGAAAUGUGGAAGCUGCUCAGUAAUUUUCCCUUUUUUGGUUAGUAACGUUUACCUUUCUGUAAGAUCUCUAAAGAAGACCCACAUGCUCAAAAUAACAAGUGGCAUAUGUUUCAGCAAGCCGCCUUUCCCCUGAAGAAUUUUCUUUCUUUUUUUUUUUUUGCUAAGUCUUUGGGAAAAAAGUCCUUGGAGAUUCAAGUCCUUUGUUGUUUAACAGAGGAGACAGAGCCACAAGACCCAGAUUUUGCUUCCAGUAUUUCAACGUAUUUCAACUCAAAAUACUGAUUGACUCCAGGGUAGCAAAUUCAGAAAUGGAUUAUGAGGUAGAAAUAAUCACCCUUAGAGAAAUAAAUAAAAAAAGACAUGCAUGAGAAUAAGAAGCCAGCAAAGCCCCCAGGGGGGAGGUAGUAUAUAAGCUGGGCCUUGAAAGAGAAGGAGGAGCAUUUCCCAGGAAUGCUAGGGAAGCAUUUUCUUCAAUUGUAUUUGACUCUGGACAUCUUGACUGAAGACCACCUGAAAAAUCCAUUUCAUCUCGAUGCAGUUUAAAAGACAAAGUCACAAUGCUAAUUUUCUCCACAAAGAAUGAAAAAAACAUUCACUUAUUUUCACUGAAUUUGCUAAGCUACCAAUGGACUCUUUGAUUCUGACUUGGACUCCGUGCAUUAUUUUUCCCCAUUUAACCAAUGAAGAUCCUUCACAACCUUCAGUGGACAAGCGCUGUGCUGGCAUGACCGAACGAUAAGAUACAGCCUCUCUGACAGCCAAGAGAAGGAAGAUACGGAUGCAGAGAGAGACUUACAAAAUGAUGUAGUAAAUGGAAUAAUAGAUUUGGGCAAGGAGAGCCAUGGAUCCAGAGGGUGGCCAACUCUCUCCAGGGAGUUGUGGGGGUUCUGUGAGGAGGUAACAUCUGAGCUCCUUCCCAAAGGUUGAGAGAUCACUGGGUAACAAGGAGGAGGAGAGUGUUCCAAGGAGAGGACACAGACUGUGCCAAGGUGGAGAAAACAGUGGCCUGGAGUUGGAGCUGCGCUGACGGAGGGCAGGCGAGGAGGCUGGGGAAUCAGGCCAUGUGCUGAGGAUGCUCUUGGGGGUGCCCCUGAGGAAUGGGAACUGGUCAAGGUCACGGGGGCAGAAGAUGUGGUGAGACAGGCUGUCUGAGCAGGGGCUCUGACUGUACCUAAACCAGAUCCACAGAACAGGGUUGCUUCGAUGUUCUAUAGAUGGAGAUUCCACAUUAUAGUUCAUUGGGGGAAAAAAGGAAGCUGAAGCUUUAAAAGAAAAAGUGACAAUGAAAGGCAGGACAUGACAACUGCAGAUUUGUGAUUUAAAAAGACAACUCCAGCAUCAGUUACAAAGUAGAACAGAAGACGUGGAGACCAAUAAGGUAUUCACUGCAGUGGUUUGGGCAAGAGAUGAUAAAACCUUGAAAAAAAGUCAUAACGUAAGUGUAGAAACAAAAUGUUGCCACUGUGAGAUUUUCCAAUGUACGGCAGGGUGUUUCGUAAGGUAGGAACAUGUUCCAGAGAUCUAAGACUGUGAUGGGUGAAAAGGGAGAAAUGAAUAGUACACUAAAGUGCUUAUUCAUUCCAUAGCCCUGUGUCCCUUACCAUGAUAGGGCCUUACUGUCACCGGUUAGGACUGUCCUCGUGACCCCUCUUCCUUCUUAGUGGGAUCCAGCUGACAGCUGGUAACGGGCAUGGGACGGCAAAAAGGUGUCAAACACAGAUGGGGAAUCCCUAAAAGGUUCAGCCACUUCUCUGCCUCAGAUGAGAAGAAGGUUCUCCAUGCGGAGCCAGAGGAUAAUGAGCUUUGAUGAGAGGCCUCCCCUUACACUCCUGUGUAAGGAGUCCCUGAGUUCACAGAAGCACGGCCUCCCUCUUUCCUGUUGUGCUAAGUGCCUACCCCUGGCCUCUGUCACACUGGGGGCCCCUCUCCUGUCCCAUGGCCCUGCGAAUGCCUGCUUCCCUCCCUCCCCUCCCCUCCCUCAAGGUGCAGUACCAUCCCCCUCCCUUCCCACAAACUGCGAAAGAACAGAGGAUGGUGAAGGAAGAGGAGGGUGAGACCAUCAUGGUGGCCGAGCCGAAGGUGGGGUGUGUAAAAUGUAAUUAGACAUCAAGCGAACUACAAAGAUGAAGUUCCUGCUAACCAGUCUCUUGAAGCCCGUAAUGCCAAAAGAGUGCUUCCCAAAUUUUUGUUGCAUUCCGGUAUAGAUACAGAUAUCGAUGUGGACAUUGACACAGAUAGAUACAGAUAUAGACAUACUUAAACAUAUAGUCUCUCUAUUUUCUUAACUUUGGGAGGAUCUUAGUUCUCCCAAGGAGAGCAGAGGCCGGCGGGCACCAGCUGCUGCGUCCUCACUGGUGGGACGGUGAGUUUGGCUGGCAGGAAAGAAAGUAAACCCAGAGGCAGUAGCUGGUAAAGGCAGACGUCCUGCUAACUCAGGACAUCUUUCUUCUUCAAAGCCCCGAGUCUCCAUUUCCUUUUCAAUAAAUUCUACUCUAUCUUUCCAACCCUCUCAGUUCUCUGUAAAUCUUCCCCUUUGACAUUAAUCCGUACUGACUGACUGCUCUCUGAACUACCGUUGCGGUGAAGUGGUUAGAACUGAGGACCUUGGGAGCAGUCAGGUUUGAGUUUGAAUUCUUGUGAAGGUGUACAUUUAUUGGGUGAGCGCUGGCAAAUUAUUUAACCUCCCUGAGCCUCCAGGUCAUAAAGCCUAAUAUCACAGACCACUGCCUCCACAUCAGGCGUUGUUUUAAGCACUACACCUACAUUACCUCACUUAAUAUAUGCUCUGUAAGGUAAGUUUAACGAUUAUCCUUAUAUAUAGAAGCAAAGAGAGGGACAACAGUGUUCAAAAGGUCACAUGGCCAGCAGCAGAGGCUAGACACACCGAUUAAACAUCUGGGAAGGCGUAUUCUGUCUGGGCAGGAAAUGCCAGGCCACAGUUGGGACCAGAACCUUGUUAUCUGAGUCCAGAGCCUGACACUACCCACUACACCCUUCUGCCUCCCCACAUCUGUGCUCUGAGCUUGUGGCUGUAGGUAGAACUCAAGAGACUAGCAUGUAAAGUCCUCGGUAUGGUGCCUGGCAUACAGCAAACACUCCAUAAAUGGAAACAAUUAUUACUAAGAUUGUCUAUUUAAAUUUUAUUAUUAUUCACUUAUCAGUUAGAUGUCACCUUGUAUCAUUAGCUCUGUGUCUGUCCCAUCUCCCUACCAUCCUGUACCCCUGAAAGAAGGAGCCAGGCCACCCAUCUACCUCUCCACAGCACAGGCCUGGGAACCCGUGAGCCAGUAUACACGGAUUGGAGAUCCUUCUAGAUCGAGCAGUAUCUCCUGCUGCGCGUUUCCCCCGUUUAAUCCAAAAGAAUCAGCAUGAUGGCAGAGUAUGCGUUUAUACACAUUCUUGUCUUGUGUCUUCAUAAUAUGCACUGCCUGGAGAACACAGGAGUCACUGACCCGGCCAUAAACCAGGCUCACAGGAGAAAGAGAACAAGGAAGUGUGGGAGUGAAGGGGAGGAGGGGGAAGAGCGGGAGAGGAAAGAGAGAUGCUCCUUUUCAAGAAUCUUUAAGCAUCCUUCAGACAAGCUAUGACAUUCCUCUAUUUGAUGACAUUCCUCUGUUUUUCCCAAACCUCACCUUCCAAGGGUUUGUAUUAACUACCAUGUAGGGAAAGCUUUCAUCCCUUUUAAACAUCAGGCAAAAUCAAGAAUGUGGCAGUCAUGAAACUCCCAUUCUGCUCUAAUAGAAUCGGUAUUGCCACCUUAGCAAUCGCGGAUGUAAGUCCUCUGCAAAGGUGUCAAGGAUGUUCUAUUUUUGGCCUGAGCCUGUUUCAGCAGUGAUGAGAAAAAAGCAGGCCAGAAGAACACAGAAAAUAGUUGAGGGCAUCUAUAAUAUCCAUGAAAGUGACAUGGAAGGCACUUGCAUGUGUCAGAUGGAGGAGAAAAUUUGAAACAAAAGGAAAAUCUGGAGGCGGACUAUUUAACAUUCAUUUAUGCAUUCAUUCAACAAAUAUUUGCUGAGUGCCUACUUGGUGCAAAGCACUGCAUGAGGUGAUCUUAUGGAGGAUAUAAAUAUUAAACAUGCUCAGCUCCUGCCCUUCUCUUACAGUCAAGUGGGGGAGAUAAGGCAUGCACAUAUUUAUAAUUUAGUGGUGUCAUGUAAAUGCUUGAGGUGGGAAUCCGUGGGCUAAAUGGCUAUAUUAGUCAUUCUACUGAGAGUGAAGAUGCAAAUCAACCUGACCCACAAGAUCAUCAGGCAGUACACGGCAUCAGCCUUCUGGCCUUUCUGUAAACCAACAGGUCCUCUGCCUUAGACCCAGACUCUCAGGGAAUGCCAUUAUCCAAGUCCUCUGUCCUUCAGAGGUAGUAAUGGCUUUGCGAAUUAUACUCCGAAUCUUGUAUUCAGUGGCAGAGGAUUUCAACGCUCUUACGAUGAGUGGAUUCAGAAUUUCAGGGGGCCAGUGUCCCAUAGUGGCUUAGCACAAAGGCUCCAGAAGGACAGUCAUGGACUUGCUUUUCAACACUGCCUAUUGGUUCCUUGACAGGGAACUUCUCUGAACCUCUGUUUCCUCCUCCAUAAAAUGUCAGUAGAGAGGAGUCUCUGAAAGAAUGUGCUCUGAAAUAAGAGGACUCAAAAAAAAACAGACAUUGAAGUUGUCAUGGUCAUUUUGUGUUCAGAGUUAGGUACUACUUACCAUAUUAGGUUCUAGCCUUGCAGCCUAUUCUUGGUUCUUCCUUCUGUCCUGUGUGAUACUAGGUUAACUAAUUCACUGUUCUCUUCCUCAUUUUUUUUAAUUGCCAUGGUAAAAUAUAUGUAACAUAAAAAAUUACCAGUUUAACCAUUUUUAAGUACACAGUUCAGUGGCAUUAAAUACAUUCACAUUGUUAGACAAUCAUCACCACCAUCCAUCUCCAGAAGUUUUUCAUCUUCCCGAACUGAAACCUCAUACCCAUUAAAUGGUAAUUCCCCUGCCCUCUUCCCCCAGCCUCUGGCAAUCACUGUUCUGCUUUCUAUCUCGAUGAAUGUAACUUCUCUAAGUACCUCCUGUAAGUGGACGUAUACAAUAUUACUACUUCUGUGUAUGGCUUAUUUCACUUAGAUAAUGUCUUCAAGGUUCAGCCUUAUUGUACCAUGCAUUGGAAUUUCA